GAUAACUGCGUGUAGCUUACAUGUGUGCGAACUAAACUUUGGUUAAGUGUGCAUUUAGUAAAAUGGAUAACCUUCCAGACCUAUUGUUGGAUCUCCCUGAGAUAAAGUUUCGACGAAAUGUAUAUAAUUACGAACGCUACCAGCAUGUCGGAGCACGUCGGAAUGUCGGACAGCGUGCUGUACCCGAAUUCGUCCCUUUGCCUAACCAUGGAAUAGCCGAAGGUCCUAAUGCAAUGGCCGACGAAAUGGCCGAGGAAAACGAAUCAAAUAAUCAUUAUAAUCAAGUGGCCAAAAAAAAAGAGGUUCCAUAUUACAGAUAUAAUUUUAAACACUUUAACGCAUAAUUGAAAUUGGUAUGUAAAUAAGUAUCUACAAUAUGCUUCAUUUUCAAGCUAAACUCUUGAUUCUUUCAGCUUACAAACAAUUAAUUUACCCACGCACGGAGCGGAACGGAACGGAACGGAACGGAACGACAACGACAAUAACAAUGAAGUACGCAUUGUAGGGAGGGAUAACUGAGGAC
rnacentral:lncRNA from 1 species